UUGUUUUUGUUAUAUAUGAAGUAGUCACUUGUCGUCAAUCAUUUGUUUUUAGUAAAAUGAUUUUUAAAGCCGCCAUGGCAUUGAAUGCCAAAAAAUUAGUACUCCAUAUCUGUUAAAUUAAAUUAUAUUAGACAAUCAUUUGUGUGUGGAAUAACUCUUUGAGACAUAUAUAUUAGUGAUGCAGCACGGAGUUUUGUUAGAUGUCGAUGUUUUGCUUCAUUUCUCCUUAUCAGUUUUCUCAACGCCAAUUGGUUGCAAAGAAUUGGCUAACUACCAACUGAUUUUGGACCUUUCUUUUGUUUCAUUUCGGAUGAAAGGUUAUGUGAUACAAUGAAAGUACUAACAUUGAAGAGUUUAAUAUUUUAACAACCCAUCCUACUGCCAAUAAAUAAAUUUAAAAUACAUUCCAACCCGAUGUCACAUUUUUUUUUAAAUUAGAAAAACAUGAUUUUAGCCAUGCACAAACAAAAAUCCUGAGUUUCCCCAAAUUGCACACAAAAUAGAUUCGAAAAUGCUUGAAAUUAAGAAAACAAAAGAAUGCCGGAUUAUAGGUUUUGGAUUCUUGGCAACUGAUAAUU
rnacentral:lncRNA from 1 species